rnacentral:tRNA from 1 species
UAGAUUGAAGCCAGUUGUUUAGGGUAUUUAGCUGUUAACUAAAAUUUCGUGGGGUAAUAGCCCACCAAUCUAG